rnacentral:rRNA from 1 species
AACGAACGCUGGCGGCAGGCUUAACACAUGCAAGUUGAGCGGGAUUUUCAGGUAGCUUGCUAUUUGAAAUGAGAGCAGCGCACUGGUGAGUAACACGUGGGAACAUACCUUUUGGGUGGGGACAACAGUUGGAAACGACUGCUAAUACCGCAUACGCCCUGAGGGGGAAAGGAGAGAUUUGCCGAAAGAUUGGCCCGCGGAAGAUUAGGUAGUAGGUGGGGUAAUGGCCUACCUAGCCGACGAUCUAUAGCUGGUCUGAGAGGACGAUCAGCCACAUUGGAACUGAGACACGGUCCAGACCCC